CUGGCUCAGAAUGAACGUUGGCGGCGUGGAUUAGGCAUGCAAGUCGAACGGGCCGCAAGGCCAGUGGCGGAAGGGUGAGUAAUGCGACGGUAACCAACCCCGGGAAUGGGUAUAGCCGCGGGAAACUGCGGGUAAUCCCCAGCGACGUGUCGAGUCGGCAUCGGCUUGACACCAAAGUUCCGGCGUCCUGGGACGGGCCGUUGUGGUAUUAGCUAGUUGGCGGGGUAACGGCCCACCAAGGCUACGAUGCCUACCGGGCGUGCGAGCGUGGCCCGGCACACUGGGACUGAGACACUGCCCAGACUCCUACGGGAGGCUGCAGUCGAGAAUCUUCGGCAAUGGCGCAAGCCUGACCGAGCGACCGCCGCGUGGAGACGAAGGCCUUCGGUUGGUAACUACCUGUCGAGGGGAGGAAGG
rnacentral:rRNA from 1 species